CGGGUAGUCGCUGUCGCGGUCAUCACGAUCGGCGGCAGAGGAAAGUCCAGGCUCGCCCAGGCUGAGAUGCCUGGAGUGUUCGUACCUAGUGCAAACUAGGGCAGCGAGACAGCGAUCUCGCUGACGGCGCGAAAAGGGUUCUCACGUAGACCCGAGUACGCUGAAAGUGCCACAGAAACGCAGCUUCCCUGGCGACAGGGAGGAUGGAACGAGGUAAACCCUGCGAGCGAGAAACCCAAAUUUUGGUAGGGGAACUGUCCCGAAGGAAAUGAACGGACGGACAGAUGGCAGUUCGAGCUGCCAUAGAUAGAUGACUACCGCUUCUUGUGCGAGGGGAGACCCGUUUGCAGCACAGAAGAGACAGAACCUGGCUUACAG
rnacentral:RNase_P_RNA from 1 species